GGUUAUGGCUCAGUGGUAGAGGGCUUGCCUAGCACCUAUGAGGCACUGGGUUUGAUCCUCAGCACCA
rnacentral:tRNA from 1 species